AGUGAACGCUGGCGGUAGGCCUAACACAUGCAAGUCGAACGGCAGCACAGGAGAGCUUGCUCUCUGGGUGGCGAGUGGCGGACGGGUGAGGAAUACAUCGGAAUCUACUUUUUCGUGGGGGAUAACGUAGGGAAACUUACGCUAAUACCGCAUACGACCUACGGGUGAAAGCAGGGGAUCUUCGGACCUUGCGCGACUGAAUGAGCCGGUGUCGGAUUAGCUAGUUGGCGGGGUAAAGGCCCACCAAGGCGACGAUCCGUAGCUGGUCUGAGAGGAUGAUCAGCCACACUGGAACUGAGACACGGUCCAGACUCCUACGGGAGGCAGCAGUGGGGAAUAUUGGACAAUGGGCGCAAGCCUGAUCCAGCCAUACCGCGUGGGUGAAGAAGGCCUUCGGGUUGUAAAGCCCUUUUGUUGGGAAAGAAAUCCAGCUGGUUAAUACCCGGUUGGGAUGACGGUACCCAAAGAAUAAGCACCAGCUAACUUCGUGCCAGCAGCCGCGGUAA
rnacentral:rRNA from 1 species